rnacentral:rRNA from 1 species
CCCUUAGAUGUCCUGGGCUGCACGCGCGCUACACUGAUGCGUUCAUCGAGUUUAUAACCUUGCCUGGAAAGGUUGGGUAACCUUUUCAAAUCGCAUCGUGAUGGGGAUAGAUUAUUGCAAUUAUUAAUCUUCAACGAGGAAUUCCUAGUAAGCGCGAGUCAUCAGCUCGUGCUGAUUACGUCCCUGCCCUUUGUACACACCGCCCGUCGCUCCUACCGAUUGAGUGUUUCGGUGAAUAAUUCGGACUGCUGUGGAGUUCAGAUCCUGGACACCACAGCGGGAAGUCUAGUAAACCUCAACACUUAGAGGAAGGAGAAGUCGUAACA